rnacentral:rRNA from 1 species
UACGUAGGGCGCAAGCGUUGUCCGGAAUUAUUGGGCGUAAAGAGCUCGUAGGCGGCUUGUCACGUCGGGUGUGAAAGCCCGGGGCUUAACCCCGGGUCUGCAUUCGAUACGGGCUAGCUAGAGUGUGGUAGGGGAGAUCGGAAUUCCUGGUGUAGCGGUGAAAUGCGCAGAUAUCAGGAGGAACACCAAUAGCGAAGGCAGCUCGCUGGGACGUUACUGACACUGAGGCGCGAAAGCGUGGGGAGCAAACAGG